UACGAAGGGGGCUAGCGUUGUUCGGAUUUACUGGGCGUAAAGCGCACGUAGGCGGAUCGUUAAGUCGGGGGUGAAAUCCUGGAGCUCAACUCCAGAACUGCCUUCGAUACUGGCGAUCUUGAGUCCGGAAGAGGUGAGUGGAACUCCUAGUGUAGAGGUGGAAUUCGUAGAUAUUAGGAAGAACACCAGUGGCGAAGGCGGCUCACUGGUCCGGUACUGACGCUGAGGUGCGAAAGCAUGGGGAGCGAACGGG
rnacentral:rRNA from 1 species